rnacentral:rRNA from 1 species
GCAAGUCGAACGGUAACAGGCCCAGCUUGCUGGGUGCUGACGAGUGGCGGACGGGUGAGUAACGCGUAGGUAUCUGCCUUAUAGUGGGGAACAACCUGGGGAAACUCAGGCUAAUACCGCAUAAUACUUAAGGGUUAAAGCAGGGGACUUUCGAGCCCUGUGCUAUAAGAUGAGCCUGCGUCGGAUUAGCUUGUUGGUGGGGUAAAGGCCUACCAAGGCGACGAUCCGUAGCUGGUCUGAGAGGACGAUC